rnacentral:rRNA from 1 species
UACGGAGGGGGCUAGCGUUGUUCGGAAUCAUUGGGCGUAAAGCGCACGUAGGCGGUUCGUUAUGUCGGAUGUGAAAGCCCUUGGCUUAACCGAGGAAGUGCAUCCGAAACUGACGAGCUAGAGUACGAAAGAGGAUCGCGGAAUUCCCGGUGUAGAGGUGAAAUUCGUAGAUAUCGGGAGGAACACCGGUGGCGAAGGCGGCGAUCUGGGUCGAUACUGACGCUGAGGUGCGAAAGCGUGGGGAGCAAACAGG